rnacentral:piRNA from 1 species
UGGGAGAAUUCAUUAAUGCCCUUGCCUGACCC